rnacentral:rRNA from 1 species
UUUAUAGCCUCUGGCUAUAGGAAAUUGUUAGUGGCAGACGGGUGAGUAAUGCGUAGGAAUCUACCUAGUAGUACGGAAUAGCCAUUAGAAAUGGUGGGUAAUACUGUAUAAUCCCCGAGGGGGAAAGAUUUAUCGCUAUUAGAUGAGCCUACGUUAGAUUAGCUAGUUGGUGAGGUAAUGGCUUACCAAGGCUAUGAUCUAUAGCUGGUCUGAGAGGACGAUCAGCCACACUGGAACUGAGAUACGGUCCAGACUCCUACGGGAGGCAGCAGUGGGGAAUAUUGGACAAUGGGCGAGAGCCUGAUCCAGCUAUGCCGCGUGAGUGAAGAAGGCCUUCGGGUUGUAAAACUCUUUCAAUAGGGAAGAUAAUGACGGUACCUAUAGAAGAAGUCCCGGCAAACUCUGUGCCAGCAGCCGCGGUAAUACGGAGGGGGCAAGCGUUGUUCGGAAUUAUUGGGCGUAAAGGGCACGUAGGUGGACUAGUAAGUUAAAAGUG